rnacentral:rRNA from 1 species
UACCAUGCAAGUCGAGCGGUAACAGAAAGUAGCUUGCUACUUUGCUGACGAGCGGCGGACGGGUGAGUAAUGCUUGGGAACAUGCCUUGAGGUGGGGGACAACAGUUGGAAACGACUGCUAAUACCGCAUAAUGUCUACGGACCAAAGGGGGCUUCGGCUCUCGCCUUUAGAUUGGCCCAAGUGGGAUUAGCUAGUUGGUGAGGUAAUGGCUCACCAAGGCAACGAUCCCUAGCUGGUUUGAGAGGAUGAUCAGCCACACUGGGACUGAGACACGGCCCAGACUCCUACGGGAGGCAGCAGUGGGGAAUAUUGCACAAUGGGCGCAAGCCUGAUGCAGCCAUGCCGCGUGUGUGAAGAAGGCCUUCGGGUUGUAAAGCACUUUCAGUCAGGAGGAAAGGUUAGCGGUUAAUACCCGUUAGCUGUGACGUUACUGACAGAAGAAGCACCGGCUAACUCCGUGCCAGCAGCCGCGGUAAUACGGAGGGUGCGAGCGUUAAUCGGAAUUACUGGGCGUAAAGCGUACGCAGGCGGUUUGUUAAGCGAGAUGUGAAAGCCCCGGGCUCAACCUGGGAACUGCAUUUCGAACUGGCAAACUAGAGUGUGAUAGAGGGUGGUAGAAUUUCAGGUGUAGCGGUGAAAUGCGUAGAGAUCUGAAGGAAUACCGAUGGCGAAGGCAGCCACCUGGGUCAACACUGACGCUCAUGUACGAAAGCGUGGGGGAGCAAACGGGAUUAGAUACCCCGGUAGUCCACGCCGUAAACGAUGUCUACUAGAAGCUCGGGUCCUCGGACUUGUUUUUCAAAGCUAACGCAUUAAGUAGACCGCCUGGGGAGUACGGNCGCAAGGNUAAAACUCAAAUGAAUUGACNGGGGCCCGCACNAGCGGUGGAGCAUGUGGUUUAAUUCGAUGCAACGCGAAGAACCUUACCUACACUUGACAUACAGAGAACUUACCANANAUGGUUUGGUGCCUUCGGGAACUCUGAUACAGGUGCUGCAUGGCUGUCGUCAGCUCGUGU